rnacentral:rRNA from 1 species
GACGAACGCUGGCGGCGUGCUUAACACAUGCAAGUCGAACGGAAAGGCCCUGCUUUUGUGGGGUGCUCGAGUGGCGAACGGGUGAGUAACACGUGAGUAACCUGCCCUUGACUUUGGGAUAACUUCAGGAAACUGGGGCUAAUACCGGAUAGGAGCUCCUGCUGCAUGGUGGGGGUUGGAAAGUUUCGGCGGUUGGGGAUGGACUCGCGGCUUAUCAGCUUGUUGGUGGGGUAGUGGCUUACCAAGGCUUUGACGGGUAGCCGGCCUGAGAGGGUGACCGGCCACAUUGGGACUGAGAGACGGCCCAGACUCCUACGGGAGGCAGCAGGGGGGAAUAUUGCACAAUGGGCGGAAGCCUGAUGCAGCAACGCCGCGUGCGGGAUGACGGCCUUCGGGUGGUAAACCGCUUUCGCCUGUGACGAAGCGUGAGUGACGGUAAUGGGUAAAGAAGCACCGGCUAACUACGUG